rnacentral:rRNA from 1 species
AAGACCUUGCACUUUUGGAGCGGCCGAUGUCUGAUUAGCUAGUUGGUGGGGUAAUGGCCUACCAAAGCUUCGAUCAGUAGCUGGUCUGAGAGGACGGCCAGCCACACUGGGACUGAGACACGGCCCAGACUCCUACGGGAGGCAGCAGUGGGGAAUUUUGGACAAUGGGCGCAAGCCUGAUCCAGCCAUGCCGCGUGAGUGAAGAAGGCCUUCGGGUUGUAAAGCUCUUUCAGCCGGAACGAAACGGUUACGGUUAAUACCCGUGACUACUGACGGUACCGGAAGAAGAAGCACCGGCUAACUACGUGCCAGCAGCCGCGGUAAUACGUAGGGUGCAAGCGUUAAUCGGAAUUACUGGGCGUAAAGCGUGCGCAGGUGGUUUUGUAAGUCAGACGUGAAAUCCCCGGGCUUAACCUGGGAACU